GCCUGGGUGGCUCAGUCGGUUGAGCGUCCGACUUCGGCUCAGGUCAUGAUCUCACGGUCUGUGGGUUCGAGCCCCGCAUCGGGCU
rnacentral:tRNA from 1 species